CGGGCGGACGGGGGAGUAACGCGUGGGUAACCUACCCUGUACACACGGAUAACAUACCAAAGGUAAUGCUAAUACGGGAUAAUAUAUUUGAGAGGCAUCUCUUGAAUAUCAAAGGUGAGCCAGUACAGGAUGGACCCGCGUCUGAUUAGCUAGUUGGUAAGGUAACGGCUUACCAAGGCGACGAUCAGUAGCCGACCUGAGAGGGUGAUCGGCCACAUUGGAACUGAGACACGGUCCAA
rnacentral:rRNA from 1 species